rnacentral:rRNA from 1 species
GAUGAACGCUGGCGGCGUGCCUAAUACAUGCAAGUCGAGCGAACGGACGAGAAGCUUGCUUCUCUGAUGUUAGCGGCGGACGGGCGAGUAACACGUGGAUAACCUACCUAUAAGACUGGGAUAACUUCGGGAAACCGGAGCUAAUACCGGAUAAUAUUUUGAACCGCAUGGUUCAAAAGUGAAAGACGGUCUUGCUGUCACUUAUAGAUGGAUCCGCGCUGCAUUAGCUAGUUGGUAAGGUAACGGCUUACCAAGGCAACGAUGCAUAGCCGACCUGAGAGGGUGAUCGGCCACACUGGAACUGAGACACGGUCCAGACUCCUACGGGAGGCAGCAGUAGGGAAUCUUCCGCAAUGGGCGAAAGCCUGACGGAGCAACGCCGCGUGAGUGAUGAAGGUCUUCGGAUCGUAAAGCUCUGUUAUUGGGGAAGAACAUAUGUGGAAGUAACUGUGCACAUCUUGACGGUACCUAAUCAGAAAGCAACGGCUAACUACGUG